rnacentral:lncRNA from 1 species
AUUCUUGAUACCCCACAAUUCUGUCUCUCCCACAUCCCUUCCCACCACUUGUAUUAUUGAUUUUUUGUCCCUUUUCUGCUCUCUAUUUACAGUGUUUUUCACUUUCUUCUUCUCCUUAGUUUCCCAGUUACAAUAAUUCAUUCUUGAAUAGCAGGUUUGAACAAAAUUUUUGAAUCUUUAUUUACUCUUUGUGGGAUUAGAUGUAACAGUUCAGUUCACAAGUAAUAUUAUUUACUUUGGAUCUAGGCUCGCACAGGGUUUUAAAACACGUCACUAAGUAAGACUUAUUUACUUGUAUAUUUGGUAUCUAUCCCUUGUUUUAUUGAUAUGGAAUUCGUCCCGGUUUGUCCCACCAUCGUUUAAGAUUGCACGCAGAGUGAUUCUGAUAUUAUAUGUUACUGUUCAACUAAUAUUGUACGCUUUAGACCUAGGCUUGCAGCGUUUUAAAACGUGUCACUAAGGUUUAAGGUUUGUUUAGUUAUAUAUCCAAUAUUUCUCAUGUUUUUGUCAAUUCCACGUGGUAUUCGCCUGGGGUGUGACAAUAUAAGAGGGUCAUAAACUAUUUUAUCAUUUAUAUUGCAGUUUACUCAAAUAAGUUCAGGGUAUGCUCUGUUCUUUUUGAGUUAUUGUCAAGAAUCAAGAUAUAUUUAAAGCUAUCACAUUAAUUUUAUGACCUUGCCUUUACUGAGUAAAAAAUUGCACGUUUUCUCCUGGAAAGUGAAAAAUAUAAGUAAUACUAACAUUGGUUUUUAUAUUUGGUGGCAGGUUUGAAAAAAUUUUCAUCUAACAAUGGGAAAUGAGUUUCCAUCAUUUUCAGCAGCAAAUGGUCCUCAAAAAAGUUCAAACUAUGAUGAAAUAUUCAUGCAGCAUAGUUUGCAGUUCUCUGAUAGUUCAAAAGGUAGAGGCUGUAAUUUCUCCAUUACAAUUUUUAUGCUUUUAUCAUUGUUAGAAUAUACUAUAAGCCAUGCGUAUUGUUAUAGUAUUUUUUAUGAACAAUUAUUUAUUUACUUGUUUAAAUUCAAUAAAGUUUUAUUUUAAAUAGAUCAUGUGUUGGUUUGUGCGUCCAUUGCUUACCAAUUAUUUAUUUACUUGUUUAAAUUCAAUAAAGUUUUAUUUUAAAUAAAUCAUGUAUUGGUUUGUCCGUCCAUUGCUUACAUAGUAGAUGAUUUAGUGUAUGGAGUUUAGCUUAUACAUGGAAGAUUAAAUCAUCGGUUCUUAUAAGACAUAAAAGUUAAUGUUCACAAUCUAAUGAUGGAAUUGGACAAAUCAUCGGAAUGAUUGUAGCACAAGAUUAAAUAUAAUUU